rnacentral:rRNA from 1 species
AUUGAACGCUGGCGGCAGGCCUAACACAUGCAAGUCGAGCGAGCGGCGGACGGGUGAGUAAUGUAUGUGGCUCUGGCUGAUAGAGGGGGAUAACUACUGGAAACGGUGGCUAAUACCGCAUACUAUAGGCUGAACCCAAGUGGGAUUAGGUAGUCGGUGUGGUAAAGGCUCACCAAGGCGACGAUCGCUAGCUGGUCUGAGAGGAUGACCAGCCACACUGGGACUGAGACACGGCCCAGACGCCUACGGGAGGCAGCAGUGGGGAAUAUUGCGCAAUGGGCGCAAGCCUGAUGCAGCCAUGCCGCGUGUAUGAAGAAGGCCUUAGGGUUGUAAAGUACUUUCGGCGGGGAGGCGUUACCCGCAGAAGAAGCACCGGCUAACUCCGUGCCAGCAGCCGCGGUAAUUC